ensembl:lincRNA Gm8883 predicted gene 8883
CACGGGCCCUGUGCUGUCUCAGCUGAGAGGUCCCCAUCUACUGACUCACUCGCACCUGGGGCUUCUUGGCUGGUCAUCUGGAAAGGUACAAACUGAAGUUUUCUUUAUCCAAGGCAAUCUUUUAGAAGUCACCCUACGUUUCUUCAAAGUGUCUGGACGCAGUGUGGAGCGUGGUUUAUUUCGUCCAUGUUGCGGCAGCCUGUGUUGGAACUCGCUGAGGUUUGAAGCCUGUCAUCAACAUACAGACUGACAUGAACUUUCAAUGGGAGUCACAGAGGGCUGUACGGGCAAACAGGAGAAAUGACAGGGUACCAAAGACCGCCCUGUCAGCUGAAGGGCACCCUGGAUGCCUGUCUCUGAGCCCUCACACUCCUGUAACCUGUGAAGGGUGGGCAAGCAGAACAGGUGAUGGGUCAUGCGUCUUCCUGACACACUGUGAAGCAAGAAGAAAUGGAACAGUAGCUCUGUGUUACACGUGAGGAGCGAGAAGCACCAACAUGGGUCUUCAUUCUGGAUUUCAUCUUCAAUAUGGAUCCACAGGCUU